AGAAUUAAGGUUGGACGACCAUACAGUACUUCUUAUAAUCCCAUUUAUUUUAAAAAGGUUAUUUUUGGUUUUCUCACACACUGUCACAAUGCUUAUAGUCCCAUUAAUUAAACUUUUUUUUUUUUUUUUUAACUCAUCAGUCAUCACAAUGUAUACCAUAUAUAUCGGAUAAGAAUAUCAUACCAUUGCUAGAUCAUACGACACUAUACGUAUAUUGGCGAUUUAGUAUAUUAGUGAAUCCACAUAUUACAUAAAGGUGGCUAUAAGUUAAAUCAAGAAUUUGGUUUUU
rnacentral:lncRNA from 1 species